rnacentral:rRNA from 1 species
CCCCUAGAUGUUCUGGGCCGCACGCGCGCUACACUGAACAGUUCUACAAGUCUUAACCUUGGCCGAUAGGUCUGGGUAAUCUUUGAACGCUGUUCGUGAUUGGGAUAGACCUUUGCAAUUAUGGGUCUUCAACGAGGAAUUCCUAGUAAACGCAAGUCAUCAGCUUGCAUUGAUUACGUCCCUGCCCUUUGUACACACCGCCCGUCGCACCUACCGAUUGAAUGGUCCGGUGAAUAAUUCGGACCGUUCCUCAUAAGAGUCUCUCUUUGAGGAGUGGAAAGUUUGGUGAACCACAGCACAUAGAGGAAGGAGAAGUCGUAACA